GGCGAGUGAAGCGGCAAAAGCUCAAAUUUGAAAUCUAGCACUUUCAGUGUUCGAGUUGUAAUUUGAAGAAGGUAACUUUGGUUUUGGCUCUUGUCUAUGUUCCUUGGAACAGGACGUCACAGAGGGUGAGAAUCCCGUGCGAUGAGAUGCCCAAUUCCAUGUAAAGUGCUUUCGAAGAGUCGAGUUGUUUGGGAAUGCAGCUCUAAGUGGGUGGUAAAUUCCAUCUAAAGCUAAAUAUUGGCGAGAGACCGAUAGCGAACAAGUACAGUGAUGGAAAGAUGAAAAGAACUUUGAAAAGAGAGUGAAAAAGUACGUGAAAUUGUUGAAAGGGAAGGGCUUGAGAUCAGACUUGGUAUUUUGCGUUCCCUUCCUUUUUGGUUGGGUUCCUCGCAGUUUACUGGGCCAGCAUCGGUUUGGAUGGUAGGAUAAUGACAUUGGAAUGUAGCUUUACUUCGGUGAAGUGUUAUAGACUUUGUUGAUACUGCCUAUCUAGACCGAGGACUGCGUCUUUGACUAGGAUGCUGGCGUAAUGAUCUUAAGCCG
rnacentral:rRNA from 1 species